UACGAAGGGGGCUAGCGUUGUUCGGAAUUACUGGGCGUAAAGCGCACGUAGGCGAUUCUGUAAGUAGGGGGUGAAAUCCCCGGGCUCAACCCGGGAACUGCCUUCUAGACUGCAGACCUUGAGAUCAGGAGAGGCGAGCGGAAUUCCGAGUGUAGAGGUGAAAUUCGUAGAUAUUCGGAGGAACACCAGUGGCGAAGGCGGCUCGCUGGACUGAUACUGACGCUGAGGUGCGAAAGCGUGGGGAGCAAACAGG
rnacentral:rRNA from 1 species